rnacentral:rRNA from 1 species
AUUGAACGCUGGCGGAAUGCUUUACACAUGCAAGUCGAGCGGCAGCGCGGGGCAACCUGGCGGCGAGCGGCGAACGGGUGCGUAAUACAUCGGAACAUGUCCAGUCGUGGGGGAUAACCUGGCGAAAGCCAGGCUAAUACCGCAUGCGCUCGGGAGAGGAAAGCGGGGGACUCGCAAGGGCCUCGCGCGAUUGGGUUGGCCGAUGUCCGAUUAGCUAGUUGGUGAGGUAAAGGCUCACCAAGGCGAUGAUCGGUAGCUGGUCUGAGAGGAUGAUCAGCCACACUGGGACUGAGACACGGCCCAGACUCCUACGGGAGGCAGCAGUGGGGAAUUUUGGACAAUGGGGGCAACCCUGAUCCAGCCAUUCCGCGUGAGUGAAGAAGGCCUUCGGGUUGUAAAGCUCUUUUGCCCGGAGCGAAACGGUUACGGCGAAUAGUCGUGACUACUGACGGUACCGGAAGAAUAAGCACCGGCUAACUACGUGCCAGCCGCCGCAGUAAAAC